rnacentral:rRNA from 1 species
GAAUAUUGGUCAAUGGGGGCAACCCUGAACCAGCCAUGCCGCGUGCAGGAUGACUGCCCUACGGGUUGUAAACUGCUUUUGUCAGGGAAUAAACCUUUCCACGAGUGGGAAGCUGCAUGUACCUGAAGAAUAAGGAUCGGCUAACUCCGUGCCAGCAGCCGCGGUAAUACGGAGGAUCCGAGCGUUAUCCGGAUUUAUUGGGUUUAAAGGGUGCGUAGGCGGCCAUUUAAGUCAGAGGUGAAAUACGGCAGCUCAACUGUCGCAGUGCCUUUGAUACUGAGUGGCUUGAAUUCUGUUGAAGAUGGCGGAAUGAGACAAGUAGCGGUGAAAUGCAUAGAUAUGUCUCAGAACACCGAUUGCGAAGGCAGCUGUCUAAGCAGCGAUUGACGCUGAUGCACGAAAGCGUGGGGAUCGAACAGG